rnacentral:rRNA from 1 species
UUUAAUUGAAGAGUUUGAUCAUGGCUCAGAUUGAACGCUGGCGGCAGGCCUAACACAUGCAAGUCGAGCGGUAACAGAAAGUAGCUUGCUACUUUGCUGACGAGCGGCGGACGGGUGAGUAAUGCUUGGGAACAUGCCUUGAGGUGGGGGACAACAGUUGGAAACGACUGCUAAUACCGCAUAAUGUCUACGGACCAAAGGGGGCU